rnacentral:rRNA from 1 species
AUUGAACGCUGGCGGCAGGCCUAACACAUGCAAGUCGAACGAGUGGCGGACGGGUGAGUAAUGUCUGGGAAACUGCCUGAUGGAGGGGGAUAACUACUGGAAACGGUAGCUAAUACCGCAUACCAUCAGAUGUGCCCAGAUGGGAUUAGCUAGUUGGUGGGGUAACGGCUCACCAAGGCGACGAUCCCUAGCUGGUCUGAGAGGAUGACCAGCCAAACUGGAACUGAGACACGGUCAGGACUCCUACGAGAGGCAGCAUGGGGGAAUAGGGCACAAUGGGCGCAAGCCUGAUGCAGCCAUGCAGGGUGUUGGAAGAAGGCCUUCGGGUUGUAAAGCACUUUCAGCGAGGAGGCGUUACUCGCAGAAGAAGCACCGGCUAACUCCGUGCCAGCAGCCGCGGUAAUAC